rnacentral:rRNA from 1 species
UAAGACAGAGGGGGCUAGCGUUGUUCGGAAUUACUGGGCGUAAAGGGCGCGUAGGCGGCUAUAUAAGUCAGGGGUGAAAGCCUGGGGCUCAACCCCAGAACUGCCUUUGAUACUGUAUAGCUAGAGGUCUGAAGAGGAUAGUGGAAUUCCUAGUGUAGAGGUGAAAUUCGUAGAUAUUAGGAGGAACACCAGUGGCGAAGGCGACUGUCUGGUCAGAUUCUGACGCUGAGGCGCGAAAGCGUGGGGAGCAAACAGG